rnacentral:rRNA from 1 species
AUUAAACGCUGGCGGCAUGCCUUACACAUGCAAGUCGAACGGCAGCACGGGGGCAACCCUGGUGGCGAGUGGCGGACGGGUGAGUAAAGCAUCGGAACGUAUCCUGGAGUGGGGGAUAACGUAGCGAAAGUUACGCUAAUACCGCAUAUUCUGUGAGCAGGAAAGCAGGGGAUCGCAAGACCUUGCGCUCUGGGAGCGGCCGAUGUCGGAUUAGCUAGUUGGUGGGGUAAAGGCCUACCAAGGCGACGAUCCGUAGCGGGUCUGAGAGGAUGAUCCGCCACACUGGGACUGAGACACGGCCCAGACUCCUACGGGAGGCAGCAGUGGGGAAUUUUGGACAAUGGGCGAAAGCCUGAUCCAGCCAUGCCGCGUGAGUGAAGAAGGCCU